CCUACGGGAGGCAGCAGUGAGGAAUAUUGGUCAAUGGACGAGAGUCUGAACCAGCCAAGUAGCGUGAAGGAUGAAUGCCCUAUGGGUUGUAAACUUCUUUUAUAUGGGAAUAAAACGUUCCACGUGUGGGAGUUUGUAUGUAUCAUAUGAAUAAGGAUCGGCUAACUCCGUGCAAGCAGCCGCGGUAAUACGGAGGAUCCGAGCGUUAUCCGGUUUUAUUGGGUUCAAAGGGAGCGUAGGUGGAUUGUUAAGUCAGUUGUGAAAGUUUGGGGCUCAACCGUAAAAUUGCAGUUGAAACUGGCAGUCUUGAGUACAGUAGAGGUGGGCGGAAUUCGGGGUGUAGCGGUGAAAUGCUUAGAUAUCACGAAGAACUCCGAUUGCGAAGGCAGCUCACUGGACUGCAACUGACACUGAGGCUCGAAAGUGUGGGUAUCAAACAGGAUUAGAUACCCUUGAGUC
rnacentral:rRNA from 1 species